rnacentral:misc_RNA from 1 species
GAUGAAGAACGUAGCGAAAUGCAAUAAGUAGUGUGAAUUGCAGAAUUCAGUGAAUCAUCGAAUCUUUGAACGCACAUUGCGCCCCUUGGUAUUCCAUGGGGCAUGCCUGUUCGAGCGUCAUUUGUACCUUCAAGCUUUGCUUGGUGUUGGGUGUUUGUCUCGCCUUUGCGUGUAGACUCGCCUUAAAAUAAUUGGCAGCCGGCGUAUUGAUUUCGGAGCGCAGUACAUCUCGCGCUUUGCACUCAUAACGACAGCGUCCAAAAGUACAUUUUACACUCUUGACCUCGGAUCAGGUAGGGAUACCCGCUGAACUUAAGCAUAUCAAUAAGCGGAGGA